UGCGGCGUGCUAUACAUGCAGUCGAGCGGACAGAUGGGAGCUUGCUCCCUGAUGUUAGCGGCGGACGGGUGAGUAACACGUGGGUAACCUGCCUGUAAGACUGGGAUAACUCCGGGAAACCGGGGCUAAUACCGGAUGGUUGUUUGAACCGCAUGGUUCAGACAUAAAAGGUGGCUUCGGCUACCACUUACAGAUGGACCCGCGGCGCAUUAGCUAGUUGGUGAGGUAACGGCUCACCAAGGCGACGAUGCGUAGCCGACCUGAGAGGGUGAUCGGCCACACUGGGACUGAGACACGGCCCAGACUCCUACGGGAGGCAGCAGUAGGGAAUCUUCCGCAAUGGACGAAAGUCUGACGGAGCAACGCCGCGUGAGUGAUGAAGGUUUUCGGAUCGUAAAGCUCUGUUGUUAGGGAAGAACAAGUGCCGUUCAAAUAGGGCGGCACCUUGACGGUACCUAACCAGAAAGCCACGGCUAACUACGUGCCAGCAGCCGCGGUAAUACGUAGGUGGCAAGCGUUGUCCGGAAUUAUUGGGCGUAAAGGGCUCGCAGGCGGUUUCUUAAGUCUGAUGUGAAAGCCCCCGGCUCAACCGGGGAGGGUCAUUGGAAACUGGGGAACUUGAGUGCAGAAGAGGAGAGUGGAAUUCCACGUGUAGCGGUGAAAUGCGUAGAGAUGUGGAGGAACACCAGUGGCGAAGGCGACUCUCUGGUCUGUAACUGACGCUGAGGAGCGAAAGCGUGGGGAGCGAACAGGAUUAUAUACCCUGGUAGUCCACGCCGUAAACGAUGAGUGCUAAGUGUUAGGGGGUUUCCGCCCCUUAGUGCUGCAUCUAACGCAUUAAUCACUCCGCCUGGGGAGUACUGUCACAAGACUGAAACUCAAAGGAAUUGACGGGGGCCCGCACAAUCGGAGGAGCAUGUGGUUUAAUUCGAAGCAAC
rnacentral:rRNA from 1 species